UGAGAAGGAUAGGGGCCAUAGCAGGAGCAUUCACUUCAUGGGCCCUGUCAGAGUCUCUGUAUUUGUGAAUGCUGCU
rnacentral:ribozyme from 1 species